CAGCAAUAUGGACACCGCAGUGACCGUAUUUGUUAUGGCAGUUUAUUGUAAGGACUGUAUGGUACACUGGAUUAGAUCACUUGUGGCCGCUGGGGGGCAU